GAGGGUGUCCACACUUCCAGCCCAGCAGCUCACACUGGGAGGUGUCCACUCCCCUUUCCUGGAAUUAACAGUGCCAUUGCUACCCUUGGAACCAGCUCAUUUUUCACUCCUUGGCAGCUGAUGCAUUAGCAAUCCUUGUAAUUAUUUACUUUUCGUGUUAUUAUGGCUCAUGCAGUGCAGCACUUUCCUUGUCCAGCAUCCCACAGAAUGUGGGGCUGACCCAGCCCCCUGGCCCAGCCAGCCUCGGAGAGGGGAUCAGGCACCCAGGGAAACAGGGGUCCACAGAGGUGAUGUGGGAACAGUCCCAGCCAGAGGGUUUUGGAGGUGUUGAGACAAAAGGAAGAGCUGGGGGAGCCCUGCUGAGAGUCACAGGGGAUGGGAGGAGUGGAAGAGAGCACCAAGGGUGUGACAGGAGUGUGGUGGGAAGCAUGGAAUCAGCUGGCAUCAAGGAUGGGAGGAGUGGCUGUGUCACAAGGAGGGCAGAGCACUGUGACAGUGAUCUGUGAGCUGGGAUUCAGGCAGGACACGAGCAGGGAGAGUUUGCUUUGCAAAGGGAACAGUCUGAAGAGCUCUGUAGCAGCUGCUUUGGGCUUGACCUGAUGGUGAGGCAUCCCCGAGGAGAGGCAGGGUGGCAGCUGGGCUGGGGAAGCACCCACGGCUCCCUCUGUGCCAGAGAUCUUCCCGUCACUGAACGGAACCUCCACUGCAGAUCUGUGACUCCUCUGCCUCCAGGAACCACUGCUGCUGAGAGCCCUGGUGGCAUUCAGAGCCAGGAAUGCACCUGGGAAAUCAUCUUUGAUGUCUCCACCUGUGUGUCUCCCUGCAUCACCAUCUCUCUGUGCACCCAAGCUGGCCCUGGUCGUGCAGCAGUGGGAGAGGAUGGAUUUGCCCUGCACUGGGUGUGUGCCUGUAGGUGCUCAAUGAUUCCCAGCCCCUAGAGACAGCGUUUGGGACCACACCCCCAACAUUCCAUCCCCGACAAAAUCCAGGGCGCUGGCUGCAUGAAUUGGGAGCUUUGGUUCCACUUCUCAGAACACAUGUGUGGCAGUGGGAUCUUUCCUUACCUAAAAGAAGGAAGACAAAGUGGGAAAAACACAUUCCACGCACACCAAGGGCUGGAGGUGCCUGGAUCCACCAGGAGGGCUGGGCCCCACUCAGCUCCCGCCGGGUACUUGCGAUGCCGCACGCGGAUCCAAGCGUGGUGCAAUCACAAAGAAUAAACAGCAGCAAUUACUUAAUACUUGUGGUGAUGGAGUAUUGAAAAUUAGCGCCAGAGUUAAGCGCUAAUAAGACACGUA